rnacentral:rRNA from 1 species
AGUGAACGCUGGCGGUAGGCCUAACACAUGCAAGUCGAACGGCAGCACAGUAAGAGCUUGCUCUUACGGGUGGCGAGUGGCGGACGGGUGAGGAAUACAUCGGAAUCUACUUUUUCGUGGGGGAUAACGUAGGGAAACUUACGCUAAUACCGCAUACGACCUACGGGUGAAAGCAGGGGAUCUUCGGACCUUGCGCGAUUGAAUGAGCCGAUGUCGGAUUAGCUAGUUGGCGGGGUAAAGGCCCACCAAGGCGACGAUCAGUAGCUGGUCUGAGAGGAUGACAAGAGACACUGGGACAGGGAGACGGGCCAGACUGCGACGGGAAGAAGGAGUGGGGAAUAUUGGGAGACAGGAGUAAGGAAUAUUCAGCAAUACGGGAUAGGUUAAGAAGGCAAUGGGGUGGGAAAGUAGUUGUGUUGGGAAAGAAAAGCAGCAGGUCAAGAAGAAGAAGUAAUGACGGUACCUAAAGAAUAAGCACCGGCUAACUUCGUG